rnacentral:rRNA from 1 species
GACAGAGGCGCCGAGCGUUAGGCGGAAUCACUGGGCUUAAAGCGUGUGUAGGCGGAUCGUUAAGUACCUUGUGAAAUCCCACGGCUUAACCGUGGAACUGCUGGGUAUACUGGCGAUCUUGAGCCACCUAGGGGCAACCGGAACAAAUGGUGGAGCGGUGAAAUGCGUAGAUAUCAUUUGGAACGCCAAUGGUGAAAACAGGUUGCUGGGGGUGUGCUGACGCUGAGACACGAAAGCCAGGGGAGCGAACGGG